UGGGGAAUUUUGGACAAUGGGCGAAAGCCUGAUCCAGCAAUGCCGCGUGUGUGAAGAAGGCCUUCGGGUUGUAAAGCACUUUUGUCCGGAAAGAAAUCCUUGGCUCUAAUACAGUCGGGGGAUGACGGUACCGGAAGAAUAAGCACCGGCUAACUACGUGCCAGCAGCCGCGGUAAUACGUAGGGUGCAAGCGUUAAUCGGAAUUACUGGGCGUAAAGCGUGCGCAGGCGGUUUGCUAAGACCGAUGUGAAAUCCCCGGGCUCAACCUGGGAACUGCAUUGGUGACUGGCAGGCUAGAGUAUGGCAGAGGGGGGUAGAAUUCCACGUGUAGCAGUGAAAUGCGUAGAGAUGUGGAGGAAUACCGAUGGCGAAGGCAGCCCCCUGGGCCAAUACUGACGCUCAUGCACGAAAGCGUGGGGAGCAAACAGGAUUAGAUACCCUGGUAGUCCACGCCCUAAACGAUGUCAACUAGUUGUUGGGGAUUCAUUUCCUUAGUAACGUAGCUAACGCGUGAAGUUGACCGCCUGGGGGAGUACGGUCGCAAGAUUAAAACUCAAUGAAUUGAC
rnacentral:rRNA from 1 species